GCCGCCGCUUUAUGCCUUCCUUACUGCUGCUGGUCGGCGCUUCCGGAGCCCGCGCGGGCCGCCGAUUGCGCGUUGGCAGCUGGAAGAAGCGGGCAUCUGAUCUGAGCGCAGCGGUGGCCGCCCGGACGGAUCGCCCCAGCUAGGUUCCCUCAUCAAAUAGUUCUCAGGUCCGGGACUUCUGUUCCUGUCCCAUGCAGUGCCUGCACACUACUUGCACAGUAUGCUGGUGCUGUCCCAGUGAAGGGGCAGGUUAUCGGCUCGACCACUGCAAGCACAGCUCCAUUGCAGAAGAACCAUUGAGGACAAUGCAGAGCAGAGGGCAAUUCCUGACUUCAUGACUGGUGACAGAUGU